AUCGCAGUUGAACCGUAACGUUCUCAUCCUACUAAAGUCCCUUGCAAUUUUUCCUAAAUCUUGUUAUUCUUAGGUAGAAUUAUUUUUGUUCGGUGUAAAGUUCGACUCUUCGUUCUAAUGAUCACUUUGGGCAAGGAUAGUAAUACAAUGUGCAUUAGCACUAGGAGGCAACAAACAUGGAACAAGGUACAGUUAAAUGGUUUAACGCAGAAAAAGGUUUCGGAUUCAUCGAGCGCGAAGGUGGAGAAGAUGUAUUCGUUCAUUUCUCUGCAAUCCAAUCUGAAGGCUUCAAAUCAUUAGACGAAGGUCAAAAAGUUACUUUCGACGUUGAGCAAGGUGCACGUGGACCUCAAGCUGCUAACGUUCAAAAAGCUUAAUUUUGAUAUAGCAUACCGAAACAGACUCCAAAAGGGUCUGUUUUUUUA
rnacentral:sRNA from 1 species